rnacentral:rRNA from 1 species
UGCAAGUCGAACGGACUUAACCAUUAGUUUACUAUUGGAGCGGUUAGUGGCGGACUGGUGAGUAACACGUAAGCAACCUGCCUAUCAGAGGGGAACAACAGUUAGAAAUGACUGCUAAUACCGCAUAUGCCUUAGAAUCACAUGGUUCAAAAGGGAAAGGAGCAAUCCGCUGAUAGAUGGGCUUGCGUCUGAUUAGAUAGUUGGUGAGGUAACGGCCCACCAAGUCGACGAUCAGUAGCCGGACUGAGAGGUUGAACGGCCACGUUGGGACUGAGAUACGGCCCAGACUCCUACGGGAGGCAGCAGUCGGGAAUAUUGCGCAAUGGAGGAAACUCUGACGCAGUGACGCCGCGUGCAGGAAGAAGGUUUUCGGAUUGUAAACUGCUUUAGACAGGGAAGAUACAAGACAGUACCUGUAGAAUAAGCUCCGGCUAACUACGUGCCAGCAGCCGCGGUAAUACGUAGGGAGCAAGCGUUAUCCGGAUUUAUUGGGUGUAAAGGGUGCGUAGACGGGAAAACAAGUUAGUUGUGAAAUCCCUCGGCUUAACUGAGGAACUGCAACUAAAACUAUUUUUCUUGAGUGCUGGAGAGGAAAGUGGAAUUCCUAGUGUAGCGGUGAAAUGCGUAGAUAUUAGGAGGAACACCAGUGGCGAAGGCGACUUUCUGGACAGUAACUGACGUUGAGGCACGAAAGUGUGGGGAGCAAACAGGAUUAGAUACCCUGGUAGUCCACACCGUAAACGAUGGAUACUAGGUGUAGGGGAUGAAUAAUCCUCUGUGCCGUCGCAAACGCAGUAAGUAUCCCACCUGGGGAGUACGGCCGCA